rnacentral:rRNA from 3 species
UGUUUGAUGUUCUAACGUGGACCCGUGAUCCGGGUUGCGGACAGUGUCUGGUGGGUAGUUUGACUGGGGCGGUCUCCUCCUAAAGAGUAACGGAGGAGCACGAAGGUUGGCUAAUCCUGGUCGGACAUCAGGAGGUUAGUGCAAUGGCAUAAGCCAGCUUGACUGCGAGCGUGACGGCGCGAGCAGGUGCGAAAGCAGGUCAUAGUGAUCCGGUGGUUCUGAAUGGAAGGGCCAUCGCUCAACGGAUAAAAGGUACUCCGGGGAUAACAGGCUGAUACCGCCCAAGAGUUCAUAUCGACGGCGGUGUUUGGCACCUCGAUGUCGGCUCAUCACAUCCUGGGGCUGAAGUAGGUCCCAAGGGUAUGGCUGUUCGCCAUUUAAAGUGGUACGCGAGCUGGGUUUAGAACGUCGUGAGACAGUUCGGUCCCUAUCUGCCGUGGGCGCUGGAGAACUGAGGGGGGCUGCUCCUAGUACGAGAGGACCGGAGUGGACGCAUCACUGGUGUUCGGGUUGUCAUGCCAAUGGCACUGCCCGGUAGCUAAAUGCGGAAGAGAUAAGUGCUGAAAGCAUCUAAGCACGAAACUUGCCCC